rnacentral:lncRNA from 1 species
AUGAAUCCUUCUCCUCCGUAGCCUAGGCGUUCUCCGCCGUAAGAGUAACCGCCGCCGCGGGCCAAUGGCACUCUCUUUAACUACGGUGAUACACUUGUUUUUUUGACUUGUUUAUUUAUAAUUUGAAAGCUUCUUUAUCUGGUUGGCAAGAAAUUAUCCAUUUUUGACCAACUCGUUCCCUAGAAGCUAUAGUGUGUGUGUUGCUCCUUUUUAUAUUUCUCCUUCAUUAACCCCUUUUUUCUUAAUUUGUGUUUGGAGUUCACUGGGGCAGCUACAAUUAUUUUUUAAACAGUUUUUUUGAUAGGGGUGAACAACAGUGAUGAGCUAUUUAUACAGACACAGACCUGUAAUGAUUUGCGAAAAUGAUCGCAAUUUAUGAACAUCUAAGGGACUGAGUUUGUUCACCUCUUUCUAAUUUUAUCUCUUGAUUAUACUGCCGUUUAAGAUUAGAUAUAAUUUAAUUUUUUAAUAAAUGAGAAUUUGUGGAUUAACGAUGAUGAGCUAUUUAUACAGACACAGACCUGUAAUGAUUUGCGAAAAUGAUCGCAAUUUAUGAACAUCUAAGGGACUGAGUUUGUUCACCUCUUUCUAAUUUUAUCUCUUGAUUAUACUGCCGUUUAAGAUUAGAUAUAAUUUAAUUUUUUAAUAAAUGAGAAUUUGUGGAUUAACGAUGAUGAGCUAUUUAUACAGACACAGACCUGUAAUGAUUUGCGAAAAUGAUCGCAAUUUAUGAACAUCUAAGGGACUGAGUUUUUCCACUCAAUUCCAAAAAUUUGUGGCUUUUACUAUGCUUUGCUUAUCUAAUUAUUUAUUGGGCCACACAUUGUUGUGUGGUUCUUUAACAAGUGAAGCUAAAAAGAAUGUUCCUCUCGCUAUCCUUUGCUUCAUUUAUGGUGUAUUUGGACGUUGGGGUACUACAUUCUUUAUGUUUAUUAAUCUGUUUUGUUCCUAUUAUUUCACUGCAUAUUGAAUUGACUGUAGUUGUAUGUUUUGGCUCUUUAUGCUUCGCUAUCUGGUUGGCAAAAUUCAGUUGUUUUUGAUCUACUCGUUCCCUUGAAGCAACAGUGAUCGUGAUGCUCUGUAUUUAUAUCUCUCUCCAUGCUUCCUUUUGUAUUGCGGUUGGACAACACUGGGUCAUCUAUAUUUUAUAAUACAAUUGUAUUUGUAGAACACUGCAAUAUUUUGGUAUCAUCAUUUUCCCUGCAGGAAGAUAAUUCUGCUGUGUGGAAGGAAGGUAUAUAUAUGGGAUGUUGUAAAUGUUGCGAUUUUAUUUAAACUAUGCUUUGCUUGACUAUUUAUGUAUUGGGACGCACAUUGUUGUGCGAUACUUUUUCAAGUCAAGCUAGAGAGAAUGUUCCUCUAAUCUAAUGUCAGAUUAUAGUUUUAUCUUUUUUGGCUGUAAUGCUUCGCUAUCUGGUUGGCUUAAUUCACAACAAUUUGCUUAUAGAAAUAAAUUAGUAUUCCUUUCCUAUACAGAGAGACCUUUUUUUCAAGUUACACCAUAAAAGAAAUUUAUUAGCUUUCUUUUAUUUCAGAUCGAUGUAUGUCUAUUAAG